GACGAACCGUACGAACGUUAUUCGGAAUCACUGGGCUUAAAGGGUGCGUAGGCGGUGCGGAAAGUUGGGUGUGAAAUCCCUCGGCUCAACCGAGGAAUUGCGCCCAAAACUACCGUGCUCGAGGGAGACAGAGGUGAGUGGAACUUAGGGUGGAGCGGUGAAAUGCGUUGAUAUCCUAAGGAACACCAGUGGCGAAAGCGACUCACUGGGUCUCUUCUGACGCUGAGGAACGAAAGCUAGGGGAGCAAACGGG
rnacentral:rRNA from 1 species